rnacentral:lncRNA from 1 species
CUUCUACCUGCAGGUUUGUUUUUAUUCAAUUUUGCGAUAAAUUGCCAGUUACCAAAGCUAAAUAGUGCACUUCAUUGUACUCCAAAUUCGGCAGAAUUCACAUUUUCUGUUGAUUCCAAAUUUGAUCCCCAAAAUUCUUUAUUCUUUGCCAGUAGAACAAAAUUCCCACUUUCUGUUGUCCCAUUCCAACAUCGAUUCACAAAAUUGAAAAGAUAUUAUUGGGAAUUUGCUCUAUCAAUUAGUUUCAGCCCACGUGGAAAAUUUUGGGUAAUACCAGCGCAAUCUUCUUGCAUGUUUCAAUAUUGUUUGGAAUUAUUCUUUUGUUCGAUUCCUAUUUUCAUCCUCUUUGUUUUACUUUUGUUUUAUGUGCUAAUGCUUGCUUUGAUUUCUUUGGCAUAUUUUAUUGUUAUAUUUAUGUAUUUGAUUUGAUUGCAAAAUCGAAUUUUGCUUUUUUGGUAUCCCCUAAACCUAGCAAAGGAGAGAAGGCGGUGGGAUAAUUGCCUGGGUCGCUAUGGAAUUAUUCAAAUAGGGAUUCCAACAUGAUACUUCUCCUAAGGUAAGUGCACUAUUUUCAUGUUCGUCGUCUCAGUUGGUUUCUGUUACUGUACUUAAUUCCUCUGUAAUUCAAUUUAGAGAGUUAAGUGUAUUUUCUUGCAAUUUAUGGUAAAUUCUAUCUAUGGUGGCGUUAGUAAAUUAUCAGAUAGUAAAACGGAAAUAUUCUCUUUUUAUUAUCCCCAUAUGCAUUCUUUUUAUUGUGUUCAGAAUAUUAUUUCUGUUAACUUGAGUCGAAAGAUGAAUACUGAAGCUUGAUGUUAUGCUGAGUGCUUAGAUGCUUUCUCCGCUAUCGCUGGCUUGGAUUAGCAGGUUGGAUUUCUUAUUUUAUUUUACUUAGGAAUGUGUAUAAAACUGUAGAAUAUUGGUUGUGAAAUCAGAAAUUUAUUCACCACCGUCCUUUUUUUUCUUUACUCAAGUUUGAUUCUCACUUAAAGCUUUGAAUUUAGAGCUGCUCUCUUAUUUGGUUAAUUUGUUGGUUGCGCUGCCACGUUCACUCAAGUUUUGGUUACAGAUAUUUGGUUUCUUUAGUUGUCCAGUAAUUCUCAUGAAUCGCAGCUUUGAAAUUUGGCAACAACUAUAAGAUUCCAAAUACAUGUAUCUAUGUGUACCUGCGCCGCAUGUAUGAUUCGCGAGCAAGGUGUUUGUUUAUUUUAUGUUGACCGCGUCGCAUGGAUGAUUCACGAGCGGGGUAAUAGAUGCAUCUAUGGUUCGAGCCACUCGACCCUCGGCAGUGCACAUUUUACAUUUCUGUUGGAUCGGGUCGUACAACCUCGCAUGAAUUGCGCAUGCUUGUAUUGCUUGCCUUGAGAGUUAUUGAUAUUGAUAUUUGCUCUCCCCGACUUGAGAUAAUUGUUAAUUAAUGAAUUAUGAAUCCGGAGACUUUUAAUAAAAAAAAGGAACUCUUACUUGUUUCGUGACUUAUUUGAAUUUACUGUUGUUCUUAAUAAGUCCAUGAUUACUCGCAUUAAUAAUAUAUUACUAUUGGACCACUAGUAAAUGUCGAAGUCGACCUCUCGUCUCUACUUCUUCGAGAUUAGACGGGAUACUCAUUGGGUACACGUUAUUUUCGUACUCAUACUACACUUGUUAUGCAUUUUUGUUGCACAGGUUUAUGUGUGGCUAGUGGAAUAGCGACAUGGUUGAUACGGAGACUCAGGUAAGUUGCAUUUAUCGAGACGACCGUAGCCAGUAGAGUCUCCUUCAGAGUAUUGUAUUGCAUUUUCAUUUCUGUCCACUUGUAUUCGGGACAACCAUUGUGUUUUAUUUCAUUCACUGGUAGAUGCUCAUGCACUUGUGACACCGGGUUCUAGGAUGAUCACAGGAUUUUUCAGUAAUUAAAUUUUGUAAAGACAUCCUCAUUUAUUCAGUGGAAUUUAUUAUUUAUUAUUCAUUUGUUUAAAGGAAAUGAUUUCAAAAUAAAUAAAAUGAGAAAUUGCUAGUAAAUUAUUGUUGGCUUGCCUGACAGUGGUGUUCGGCACCAUCACGACCCUUAGUGGAUAGCGAAUAAGGUCAAGAAGGGGUUAAGAAUGGUAUGCUCAAUGGACAUAUCUCUCUUGAUAAUUUGAAGUAAGCUUUUUCUUUUGCACCAUUCGUCUUUGAUGAAAUGCAAAGCCUCUUUGCUACUCGAGUCACUAAGGCUUAGGAAUUUAUCCUAUUGUUGAAUUUGAGGGGUUCUGCUUCUUUAUUUUUGCAGGACUUUGUUAUUGUAGAAUAAAGGUAUGUAUUUGUACUUCUAGUAGAUUUUCAGUGUUGUAUAUUUUCAUAUAGUUAGUAUUUGUGUUGAAGCUAACGACCACUUUCGUUUCUUUAUUUUCGUGGCCUGAAUCUGAUUUCUUAAAUAAAAAACUCUUUGUCGUCGAGGUGUAUGACAAAAUACUUCAAUGAAUUAGAUUGUGUCUUUGGUUUCUUAUGCAUCCUUCGGAGGUAACAUAGAAAAUAGAAAAUUAUGAAUGCAUGUAUAUCAUAUUGUCAACAGCGGAGAGCCGAAUGUUUGACACGGUUAACAUCUGUAAUUCUUUACACCUUUUUCCUUUCUCCUUUUUCACCAUGCAGCAUGAGAGAUUAAAAUUAUAGAGAAAAACUUUGACGAGUUAUUGUUGCAACUAUGUGGAUUUUCUGUCUUUCAUUUUUUUUUACGAAUGAAAUAAACUGAUAUUACCCAAUUCUGUUGUGGGACUUGAAAAUUUAAAUGUGGUAUAGAGAAUGUCAGAUACUUGAAAUAUAUUCUUGGUUCUCUUUGUUCUCAUAGAAGCUCCUUAUUGCUAGCUAUAUAUAAUUGUGUC